UACACGACCGUACCGCAAACCUACACUGGUGCGCGAGAUGAGUAUUCUAAGGCGCUUGAGAGAACUCAGGAGAAGGAACUCGGCAAAUUGACACCGUAACUUCGGAAGAAGGUGUGCCUUUAGUAGGUGAACCAUUUACUUGGGGAGCCCAAUGAGGUUGCAAAAAAUCGGUGGCUGCGACUGUUUAUUAAAAACACAGCACUCUGCAAACACGAAAGUGGACGUAUAGGGUGUGACGCCUGCCCGGUGCUGGAAGAUUAAAUGAUGGGGUGCAAGCUCUUGAUUGAAGUCCCAGUAAACGGCGGCCGUAACAAUAACGGUCCUAAGGUAGCGAAAUUCCUUGUCGGGUAAGUUCCGACCUGCACGAAUGGCGUAACGAUGGCCACACUGUCUCCUCCUGAGACUCAGCGAAGUUGAAAUGUUUGUGAUGAUGCAAUCUCCCCGCGGAAAGACGGAAAGACCCCAUGAACCUUUACUGUAGCUUUGUAUUGGACUUUGAACAGAUCUGUGUAGGAUAGGUGGGAGGCUUUGAAGUAGGGUCGCUAGAUCUUAUGGAGCCAACGUUGAAAUACCACCCUGGUGUGUUUGAGGUUCUAACCUAGGUCCAUUAUCUGGAUCGGGGACAGUGCAUGGUAGGCAGUUUGACUGGGGCGGUCUCCUCCCAAAGCGUAACGGAGGAGUUCGAAGGUACGCUAGUUACGGUCGGACAUCGUGACGAUAGUGCAAUGGCAUAAGCGUGCUUAACUGCGAGACUGACAAGUCGAGCAGAUGCGAAAGCAGGACAUAGUGAUCCGGUGGUUCUGUAUGGAAGGGCCAUCGCUCAACGGAUAAAAGGUACUCUGGGGAUAACAGGCUGAUACCGCCCAAGAGUUCAUAUCGACGGCGGUGUUUGGCACCUCGAUGUCGGCUCAUCUCAUCCUGGGGCUGUAGCCGGUCCCAAGGGUAUGGCUGUUCGCCAUUUAAAGAGGUACGUGAGCUGGGUUUAAAACGUCGUGAGACAGUUUGGUCCCUAUCUUCCGUGGGCGCUGCAGAUUUGAGGAAGCCUGCUCCUAGUACGAGAGGACCGGAGUGGACACACCUCUGGUGUAUCGGUUGUCACGCCAGUGGCAUUGCCGAGUAGCUAAGUGUGGAAGAGAUAACCGCUGAAAGCAUCUAAGCGGGAAACUCGUUUCAAGAUGAGAUCUGCCGGGGCCUUGAGCCCCCUAAAGAGUCGUUCAAGACCAGGACGUUGAUAGGUCAGGUGUGGAAGCGCAGUAAUGCGUUAAGCUAACUGAUACUAAUUGCUCGUGCGGCUUGACCG
rnacentral:rRNA from 1 species